AGAUUACACAACACCAUUAAAUGUUUACAAGUGAUACACCACCAAAAAAUUAAUUAUUUGCGGCUAAGGUGCUAAUAGCACCAAAAAUUUACUUUUCUUAAUAAGAAGUGUGUUCGAUUUUAUAUAAAAAAAACAAAAAUUCAAAAUUCAUUAUCAUUUCUAUUCCAAAAUUAUUUCCCCUCCCAAAACUAAUUUAGAAUUUCACGUUCCCGCUUCCCAAAUCCAUUAACCCUAAAAACUCAAAACAGCCACAACAAUGGCUUCUUUAAUGCCACCUACAUUUUUGAAGAACUCAAGAACAUAAGAGAGAGGGUGGCCGGCGCGGCGGUGCCACUCGUUUUCCGACGCCUGGACUGCUUCAGUCUUAUAAUCGGAGAUGGGAGAAUCCGAUGGUGAUGCCGAUUUAGCCAACAGGUCAGCGGUGGCGGUGACGAGUUGAAGAUUCAAAGUUCCGGUGAAGUUCGGCUGGUCUCUGACGGUAGUGUUAUAUUUCAUCAAGCUUCUGCCUGUGUAUUUGUUUGGUUCGCUACUCUUUUUGUUUUUUCGUUUAUACACGAAGGAUCUGAUGUUUCCAUCUGGAUCUUUAAUUUUUUUUCUCAUAUAAGAUUUGAAUGUUUCAUGAGAUUUGAUACAACACUUAGCUUGGGAUUUCUUUUUAGACUCUUUUUUAGUAUCUGAUGUUUAUGCUAAGGGGGUGGGUGAAUUUUGGUUAUGAUUUGAAAAGAACUAUCAUGUGUAUGGCUAAUAUAAGGGCUGUGUAGAACUAUUGACCUUGAUACUUUGCUUCACAACUAACAGUAGAGAAUGAUACAAGUUUUCAAGCGGUGGUGGCAUGGUGGUGGUGGUUGGAUGUUCUUUAUUAUUUAUACAAUUUGAAAAUGAUUAUGAAUUGCUACAACUUACUCUGUGUUAUCUUGUUAGAAUUAGUUUUAUGGAUUCACUAAACAACAUUUGAACUUGAGGUGAUGGUGGUUGGAACCUUGGUUUUAAAAUGAGCGCAUGUAGCUUGUUUCUAACAUCUAAGCCUGAAUAAUUUGAUGUCAUGGUGACUCCUAAUCUUUAUGGAAACCUGAUGGCAAAUAUUGUUGCUGGUAUUGCUGGGGGCACUAGUGUCAUGCCUGGAGGUAAUGUCAGGGCUGCUAAUGCAUAAUUCGAGCAAGGUGCAUCAAUUGAAAAUGUUGGAAAACAAAAAUUUGCAGAGAGAAAGAUUGCUAAUCUAGUUGCAUUGUCAUCAGCCACACGAAAGAGUUUAUCGACUCUAUACAACAUGAUUUGGUUAACCGAGUGACUUUUCUUUUGGAACGAAGAAGGCUAUUUUGAAGAAUCUCAAAUUGAGAAUUUAGUGGUAGAUUUAAUGUUGGGAUUUAUUAAAAAGAUGUUUUGAUCUUGUAAGCAUUAGUUUGUGUUUCAUACUUUUGUAAUUCAGUAUACUUGAAUAGGUUGUUGGGUUAUUUAAUACUAGUUAACUUUUGUCGUGAGUA